GCUGGCGGGGCGGACCCGGUCGGCCCGGCUGCCGCUGGGGGCGGCGGUGGUCGCCGGGUUCGCAACCGGGCUGCUGGCG
rnacentral:tRNA from 1 species